CAUUAAAUUUCCCUUCAGAGAUCAAUAAAGUUCUUCUUAUCUUACCUUACUUUAUCUUAUCUGAUAGCAUUAAUAUUGAUGUGAAAACCAUCAUCAUGAACUCUGUUUGUAGGUUACUCUGAAUGUUUGCUUCCUGCAGCAUCUUAAAAUCCUAUCCUUUUUUCCACCAUCAACAAACUAACCUCAGAUGUAACAGACUUCUUUCUGCAGAUUGGUAUGAUAACAGUUGGUCCACCAGAUCAGAGCAACAGUCUGCUAUAGAGAAAGAACAGACCUUGGAAUGUUGUAACUGACCAAUCAGAACCAAGUAUUUAGGACCGCUGUGGGAUAAAGCUCAGAAACUCACUGAACGAGUGCAGGCUGACACAAAUAGUCACACUUGUGGUGGAUCAGAAGUAUAUGCAGGGGGUAUUUCAUCUUAUUCUACUUUUAAGUGAAAGUUUUUCCCCCAACAAGGGGAAACGACAAAAUAAGUUCAUGGAUCCAUAUUUUGAGGGACCAAGGAAAACUGUUUUUUAUUCAUAAAAUUAAAAACAAACCAUGGCCAUGUUUUUAUAUUUAUGAAAAAUAGCACCAUCAGCAACAGAUACAACUGCUAGCAAGAGAAAGUAGCAAGAACCUGAACCAUUAUGAGACAAGUUUACGUCUUAGAAGUGCUCUCACACUGGAGCAUACCAUGAUGUGUUAAACCCAAAAAAGUGUGUGUCUGUGUAGCCUACUUAAGAGUAAUCUACCAUUGGUGGUAGUUUUUCCAAGCUAAGUUGAUUAAACUUGGAAAAUAAAGAAAAGAUGACACAAAGUCGCCUUAAAAUAAGGGCUAGCCAACAGAGCUAGCCAACUGGACUAGCUUAAAGAGCUAGGGAACAAAGCAAGUUUACAGCACUCAGAGACACUUAAUACAGGAAUGAGUUUUAAAACAUUAACUUGUGAAGCAAAAGGGCACUUAUUUGUGUUUUCAGGAGGUUUUCAUGUAGUUUGAGUUGUUACCAGUGAUUCUCAGCCUCGGGGUCCUGACUCCAUGUGUGUAAGUGCUGAGAGGUUGAGAAUCACCAGCCUCGCGAACAAAGUGCAGUAUCUCUCCAUGGAGAAGACAUGCUCUUCUGUUCUUGCCAAGUUUCAAACUGUGACACUGAACACUGUUUACUUGUAGACCUGCUCUGAAUGGAAACAUCCACAAGUUUACAACAUGUUUUCACAAAUAAAUAGUUUCAACACCUACCGCGCAACAGAAAUGGAACUCUUAAGAAUUUCUUUUCAUCUGCUUUCAUAACUUUAAGUUGAAUGAGAACAAAGAGAUGCCACAGCCUCGCCAUGCAUGUCAAAGUCCCUGCGCCGGUCCUACAUUAUACUAAUUACCUGAUUGGUUUUCUGCUUUGGGCACACUAAAAACUUGGACUUGAAGAAAAAGAAAACAUGCUGGCAGGUUGUUCAGUUUACUGAAGUGUGACUGGGUUAAAUCCAUAUUCGUGUUUACUAUGUGCCAAGGAACGCAAGUGUUCGGGGAGCUUGUUUAUCAUGCUCUCCUCUCGUACUGGUAAUUUACAUAGGUUUUUGCUGACAGAUGUGGUCGUUGUGAAUCUCCCUAUUUUUAACUAUCUGCACUGUGGAUUCCCAAAUCUAGAGGAUGUGUUUGCUAGAAUUCAGACAAAGGAAACUAGUGAAAGGUCUGUCUGUCAUAAGUGCAUAAUAUGGGAUGUUAUAUGAUGACCACAGAUGUAGGGAAAUCUGAGCUCUUGCACUCUGUUUAAAAAAAAAAAAACCUGUAAGUUUGUAAAAAAAAAAAAAAAAAGGAAAGUUAAUGCCAGAGCAUGUAUUUAUUGUAUACAAAGUCUACUAGAAUUGUGAUUUUUUUUCUUGUACGUACUGUGAAAUAAGGAGAUUGAUCAAAUGUAUGUAAAAUAUAGUUAUCAUUAAUCUAAUGUGAGAUAUGUUGAAUAUAAUUCUAACAAUAUUUUGUAUAUAAAUUAUUUAUGAAUCAAA
rnacentral:lncRNA from 1 species